GAAUUUCUUAAGAGGUUUAGUGAGUAAUUUUGCAAGUUUGCUGUUGACAUUAAUUGUUUGUGUCACGUAAUAUUAUUAUAUUAUGUGGAUGCCCAUUAUACCCCCCAUAUUCACACUUUCACCCUAGACACUUUCAUACUCUUCAAUGAUAGAUCCUGCAUCUUAGGAUGCCUGCUAUGUAUUCUCCUUUAAAAGAGGCAUUCAACUUUUCCUCACUUUUGUCAACUAACCUAUUGUCUUGUUACUGAUAUGGUGUUGAUUAUCAUUUGUAAUCAGGUUGUGUGAAAGUGGAGAGUUGCUCGAUUGAAUGCUACCCAAAAAGGAUAGCCGAUAUACAGAGAAAGACGCAGUGUUGGAGCUGCCAACACCUCUCAAAUCAACCUUCAAUUGCAGGCACUACUCAUAUUUUGUAUUGAUCUGCAUCCGAGGAUAAGGAGCUGGAGCUGGAGUUGCUUUUCUUUGGGCUGUCCAUUUAAGCAGAAGCUUUGGUGUCCCGUUCGGUUCUUUCUGGCUUCUCCUUUUGCUCCUGCUUUUUCAAAUGGUACCUGUCAAGGCGCUUGUUAUCGGUGGCAAUUGUAGAGUGGAGGAUUGGGGCUUGAAGUCUUGAAGACCCAUCAUGGACAUGUCGAAAGGUGGAAAGUUUGUUCGGAGAAUUGAGGAUACUGAUAUGUAGAGGUCUACUAAGGAAUCUGAGGAGGCUGUGCUGUGUUGCGUGAUCUUUCUUGGCCUGGUCUUGAUUGGGAUGAAGGCACUUCACUUCUUUGCUACAUUUCCAUUGAAAUUCUUGCGAAAGAGUGCACUGUAUUGGAUUUACUGUCACCAAAUUUUACCAGUGGAGUCAACUUUGCUGUCGCGGGUGCAAGCCUUCUGCCGGAGUUCUUUCCAGUUACAUUGAAUGCUCAAGUUCGCCAGAUCACUCUUUAAAAACAAGUCACUUGAGCUCGUGUAACUUGGAUCAAGGGACUUGAUCGAUGAAGAAGGAUUCCGCAGUGCAUUAUAUAUAAUUGACAUUGGACAAAACGAUUUUGUAAAGGCUCUUCGUGCAUCAAACUUAACUUAUGGUCCUGUUGCUCGAAAGAUUCCAUCCCUUCUCGAAGAAAUCAGAUUAGCUGUGCAGACAAACUACCAUAUAUGGUGGGAGAAAAUCCUGGAUCCACAACGUAAGGCCCUUUGGCUGCUUACCUGUAGAACAUGCUCUGCAUCGUCGUAAAGGCACUGAUCUUGAUCGAAUUGGAUGUUUUCGUGUGCAUAAGCAAUGAUCGUGUUGUCUGCCAUUUCUAUCAUGAGAAUUGGCAUUGUAAGGUAAUUUAUUUCUCUCUCAUGAUUUGUCCUUUUGAUUUUUAAUUUUUGAAUUUUUGAUUGCAUUGUUGCUGUUUUUGGAUAUUAUUUUCCUAAUCAAUUUGUCAAGGAAUUAAGUUUGUGCAACUACUUUUAGCUGAAUUAUUUUAGUUAGGCGAAGAACUUAACAUAGAUAUUCCUGGAGGAAAAUUGGUGAAAUUUACACUAUAUGCUGCUUUGAUUACGUCGUUGCUGUUUCUAGCUCUUUUUAGUAUGCAACUAAUUGAGCUCAAUUAUUUGAUUUAGCCGAAUAAUUGAAAUAAAGGGUUGCGAGAUGAAAGUCGUUGAAAUUUACACUAAAUGAUGCGUUUAAUAUGUGCUAAUUUUUACAUGAGAAUUUAGCAAGGAAUUUUUUUCCUUAUCUCUGAUAGUUUUGAAAUGUAAAUUUAGAUUUUUCAAAACCAGGAUCCUGAGGUAGAAGGAACAGGAUUUAAACUGGUGUCGAUUUGCUAUAUUAAUAUUAAUUUAGUAAAAAACGAGCUUAUUAGUUUAGACUUUAGAGUAUAGUGAAAUAAGAAUUAUUUGAUUCGCAUCUUUGAUUUGAUCUCUUGCAACUUUUGCCAAAUCACUUUAAAGGACCUUAAAUACAGCUUAUUAUUCUUGCUAUCUUUCUGGAUCAGAAUAAUACUAGAAGUGACUUAUAUGAAAUAGACGAUGAUGCUAUGGGCGCUGUCCACUCGCGAGAGGGGAGGGGGGGGGGGAGGGUGGUUAGGGAAGCUGAGCAGAAUUAGUGUUAUUCUUUUGAUAUGCAAAGGCUUCCCUGAUAUCGUGUUCUAAUCUUGAAAAUCUGUUGUAAAGAUUUGUGCAAUAGAUGUUGAAAUUGGGGGAGUCUGUUCUCCUUUUUGCUUCAGUUAUCACUUCUCUUUUCUUUUGCUCUGGCAAUACUCCAGUGUGUCUACCUUUUUCUAUUGUCUUCCUUGUUAUUGGCAUGGUUAUUGGUUUGGAUGUUGUAGCUCAAGUGACGUGUUUUAUCUUGUGAUUUGAAUAAGGGUUGCUCUCUUGUAACUUUUCUAAGCUACAAAACUUAGCUGUUAGCCUGUAAGUCUGUUUCCUUUCAAAUUGCAUGACAGUGCUAGCUAGAAAUUUAUCAAUAUAGGGGCCCUUUUUAAGUCUUCAAAAGUUUUGUAUUGACACAGUGUUAUAGGACAUGCAAGACCUUAAGAUUUGCAAUGCUUGAUGAAGUUGAACCUGGGUGUCUACACUUGGUGGAUCAACAUCUGAUUUGAAUCUGUACAUGCUUGUCAUUUAGGUUGAUAGUUUAGCUGCAUGCAUGGAAAUUGUAGUGUUAAUUUGGAGGGUAUGAAGCAGAACAACCUUGAGAUAUAAGUGGAUGCUCUCUCAAACCUUGGAUAUUCUGCGUUAUCUCUUAGUCAUUUUUUAAGUUUAUUUAAAGCUUCAUUGCAUGGAAGACAGGUAGACAAUUUGUUCAUGAAUUCAGAUUUCUAUCAAUGGUUGUGCGAUGUGUACAUCUUUGUCAAUUGCUCCUCUCAAAUCUAAGAUCGGUGUACGACGAUGCUGUCAUAAUCUAUGUUGAAAAAUAUGGUAUAAUUAUCCUUUAAUUGAAAGCUUGCUGUGCUCUUUUUAAGUACAAAAGUAUACUAUUAGCGCACACAAAAUCAUCAAAUUGUUAAAGAAUCAAUUUGGAGCCUGUUGUGGUCAUGGGGCUCCAUACUUCUAUGACAAAAACGCGACAAGUGGGCAACCAGGCUCAAGCAUCUGCAGCAAUGUGUCACAGUCUAUAUAUUGGGAUGAAGUUCAUUGUACCGAAGCUGCUAAUCAUGUUGUAGCAACAAAGAUAAUUUCAGGACAUUAUUCUACUCUGAGUCAAGCUUGAGCAGUUCUGGGAUUUGCACUAAUCUAUAAUUGGGAGCUUGGCACAUGCUGAUCAAAUUAAGGUUAAUAUCACUAGAGUGAGUCACAGUUGCUUGAUUGUAUUACUAGAACAUAUCAAUGAUUACUUGAUCAGUAAACAUAAUGUACUUUCUUUGUUACAAAGCUGUACUUAAUCUAAACAAUCAACUUCAUAUGCAGUUCCCAUUGCUUUCACGA